rnacentral:rRNA from 1 species
UGUUAAGUCAGAUGUGAAAGCCCGGGGCUUAACCUCGGAAUUGCAUUUGAAACUGGCAGGCUAGAGUCUUGUAGAGGGGGUAGAAUUUCAGGUGUAGCGGUGAAAUGCGUAGAGAUCUGAAGGAAUACCAGUGGCGAAGGCGGCCCCCUGGACAAAGACUGACGCUCAGAUGCGAAAGCGUGGGGAGCAAACCAGGAUUAGAUACCCUGGUAG